UUUUUUUUACCCUCAAAGGUUAAUUUACAGAUUUUUUUUAACCCUUAGGGGUUAAUUUAAUUUAAUUUGUUAUUUUAUUAAUUUGACAUUGAUUCUUCAGUUAGCUGGAGUGGGAGGACAUUAGUGAGAAAUUGAAUGUUAGGCUAGUUAGAGACUAAAAGUUUGGAAAAGUUUUAAAAAGUUUUAAAAAAGUAUAAAGGAAUAAAAAAAG